rnacentral:rRNA from 1 species
AGAGUUUGAUCCUGGCUCAGGAUGAACGCUGGCGGCGUGCUUAACACAUGCAAGUCGAACGGACUCUUCGGAGUUAGUGGCGGACGGGUGAGUAACGCGUGAGAAUCUGGCUUCAGGAGGGGGACAACAGUUGGAAACGACCGCUAAUACCCCAUAUGCCUAAGGGUGAAAGGAGCAAUCCGCCUGAAGAUGAGCUCGCGUCCGAUUAGCUAGUUGGUGAGGUAAGAGCUUACCAAGGCGACGAUCGGUAGCUGGUCUGAGAGGAUGAUCAGCCACACUGGGACUGAGACACGGCCCAGACUCCUACGGGAGGCAGCAGUGGGGAAUUUUCCGCAAUGGGGGCAACCCUGACGGAGCAACGCCGCGUGCGGGAAGACGGCCUGUGGGUUGUAAACCGCUUUUCUCAGGGAAGAAGAACUGACGGUACCUGAGGAAUCAGCAUCGGCUAACUCCGUGCCAGCAGCCGCGGUAAUACGGAGGAUGCAAGCGUUAUCCGGAAUUAUUGGGCGUAAAGCGUCCGCAGGCGGCUUUUCAAGUCUGCUGUUAAAGGUCGAGGCUCAACUCCGGUUCGGCAGUGGAAACUGAAAGGCUAGAGUGCAGUAGGGGUAGAGGGAAUUCCCAGUGUA